rnacentral:rRNA from 1 species
UAAGGAAUAUUGGUCAAUGGAGGCAACUCUGAACCAGCCAUGCCGCGUGCAGGAAGAAGGCCCUAUGGGUCGUAAACUGCUUUUGAACAAGAGAAAACCCCGGUACGUGUACUGGGUUGAUAGUAUUGUUAGAAUAAGCAUCGGCUAACUUCGUGCCAGCAGCCGCGGUAAGACGAAGGAUGCAAGCGUUAUCCGGAUUCAUUGGGUUUAAAGGGUGCGUAGGCGGACUGAUAAGUCAGUGGUGAAAUCUCUCGGCUUAACCGAGAAACUGCCAUUGAUACUGUUAGUCUAGAGUACAGACGAUGUGGGCGGAAUAUGACAUGUAGUGGUGAAAUACUUAGAUAUGUCAUAGAACACCGAUUGCGAAGGCAGCUCACAAAACUGUAACUGACGCUGAGGCACGAAAGUGCGGGGAUCAAACAGGAUUAGAUACCCGAGUAGUCCCUGAGCGGGCUGGCAAGGCGCAU